rnacentral:rRNA from 1 species
UACGUAGGGGGCAAGCGUUGGUCCGGAAUCAUUGGGCGUAAAGAGCGUGUAGGCGGCCCGGUAAGUCCGCUGUGAAAGUCCAGGGCUCAACCCUGGGAUGCCGGUGGAUACUGUCGGGCUCGAGUCCGGAAGAGGCGAGUGGAAUUCCUGGUGUAGCGGUGAAAUGCGCAGAUAUCAGGAGGAACACCAAUGGCGAAGGCAGCUCGCUGGGACGGUACUGACGCUGAGACGCGAAAGCGUGGGGAGCAAACAGG